rnacentral:rRNA from 2 species
GUAGAGCACUGUUUCGGCUAGGGGGUCAUCCCGACUUACCAACCCGAUGCAAACUACGAAUACCGAAGAAUGUUAUCACGGGAGACACACGGCGGGUGCUAACGUUCGUCGUGAAGAGGGAAACAACCCAGACCGCCAGCUAAGGUCCCAAAGUCAUGGUUAAGUGGGAAACGAUGUGGGAAGGCAUAGACAGCCAGGAUGUUGGCUUAGAAGCAGCCAUCAUUUAAAGAAAGCGUAAUAGCUCACUGGUCGAGUCGGCCUGCGCGGAAGAUGUAACGGGGCUAAACCAUGCACCGAAGCUGCGGCAGCGACACUUAGGUGUUGUUGGGUAGGGGAGCGUUCUGUAAGCCUGCGAAGGUGGCCUGUGAGGGCUGCUGGAGGUAUCAGAAGUGCGAAUGCUGACAUAAGUAACGAUAAUGCGGGUGAAAAACCCGCACGCCGGAAGACCAAGGGUUCCUGUCCAACGUUAAUCGGGGCAGGGUGAGUCGACCCCUAAGGCGAGGCUGAAAAGCGUAGUCGAUGGGAAACAGGUUAAUAUUCCUGUACUCGGUGUUACUGCGAAGGGGGGACGGAGAAAGCUAGGUUAUCCGGGCGACGGUUGUCCCGGUUUAAGCGUGAAGGUGGAUGACUUUGGUAAAUCCGGGUCAUCGUUAACACUGAGGCGUGAUGACGAGUCACUACGGUGAUGAAGUAACCGAUGCUACGCUUCCAGGAAAAGCCUCUAAGCUCCAGGUAACAUCAAAUCGUACCCCAAACCGACACAGGUGGUCAGGUAGAGAAUACUCAGGCGCUUGAGAGAACUCGGGUGAAGGAACUAGGCAAAAUGGUGCCGUAACUUCGGGAGAAGGCACGCUGAUGGUAGGUGAAGUGACUUGCUCAUGGAGCUGAAAUCAGUCGAAGAUACCAGCUGGCUGCAACUGUUUAAUAAAAACACAGCACUGUGCAAACACGAAAGUGGACGUAUACGGUGUGACGCCUGCCCGGUGCCGGAAGGUUAAUUGAUGGGGUCAGCCGCAAGGCGAAGCUCUUGAUCGAAGCCCCGGUAAACGGCGGCCGUAACUAUAACGGUCCUAAGGUAGCGAAAUUCCUUGUCGGGUAAGUUCCGACCUGCACGAAUGGCGUAAUGAUGGCCAGGCUGUCUCCACCCGAGACUCAGUGAAAUUGAACUCGCUGUGAAGAUGCAGUGUACCCGCGGCAAGACGGAAAGACCCCGUGAACCUUUACUAUAGCUUGACACUGAACCUUGAGCCUUGAUGUGUAGGAUAGGUGGGAGGCUUUGAAGCGUGGACGCCAGUCUGCGUGGAGCCAACCUUGAAAUACCACCCUUUAAUGUUUGAUGUUCUAACGUGGACCCGUGAUCCGGGUUGCGGACAGUGUCUGGUGGGUAGUUUGACUGGGGCGGUCUCCUCCCAAAGCGUAACGGAGGAGCACGAAGGUUAGCUAAUCCUGGUCGGACAUCAGGAGGUUAGUGCAAAGGCAUAAGCUAGCUUGACUGCGAGAGUGACAGCUCGAGCAGGUGCGAAAGCAGGUCUUAGUGAUCCGGUGGUUCUGAAUGGAAGGGCCAUCGCUCAACGGAUAAAAGGUACUCCGGGGAUAACAGGCUGAUACCGCCCAAGAGUUCAUAUCGACGGCGGUGUUUGGCACCUCGAUGUCGGCUCAUCACAUCCUGGGGCUGAAGUAGGUCCCAAGGGUAUGGCUGUUCGCCAUUUAAAGUGGUACGCGAGCUGGGUUUAGAACGUCGUGAGACAGUUCGGUCCCUAUCUGCCGUGGGCGUUGGAAGAUUGAGAGGGGUUGCUCCUAGUACGAGAGGACCGGAGUGAACGCACCACUGG